GCGCCAGUAGCCCAACGGAUUAGAGCAUUUGACUACGGAUCAAAAGGUUACAGGUUCGAAUCCUGCCUGGCGCA
rnacentral:tRNA from 1 species